AAAAAAAACAAACCUGGUUUUCGUGUCCAAUGUUUGACUAUUCAUUUUAUAUUAAAUUUUUUUAUAAUUAAUAUUUUCAUUAUUGUUAGAUGAUAAAACAUGAUUAAUAAUUUAUGUGUGACUUAUCUUUUUAAUUUUUUCAAAUAAGACGAAUGGUCAAACAUAAUACGGAAACCCAGGGUU
rnacentral:pre_miRNA from 1 species